rnacentral:lncRNA from 1 species
CGCUAACCAAAGGAUAAAUGAGUCUUGUAUUUUGGGCGACGAUUGUUGGAGAUAGUCUAACUGUGCAAUUAGUUAUUUUUUAUUUAUAUUUAAUGCUCUAUGCACUAGUCGUUUAAAGAUUUGAUGUGACGGAGAAUCUUAUAAACUUUUGAAAUUUUAGGUGCAUCUAAAGAAGGUCUUAUACUACUACUCUCCUACUCUAUGCACUAGUCAACUUGUUUGACUGGUCAACACUCUCUAAAUAGUGCAAGGGCAAGACAUUUUUUUGUUUUUAUUUGUUUAGUUCCUAUUCUUUUAGUUUUAUGGUAUUGUAUCACGUUUGUUUUUAUUUGAUAAUUAUUGUCUAAUUAUGAAUUAAGAGACUCUAAAGAUUUAUCUCGUGAUUUACAGGCAAAUUAUAUAAUUAGUUUUGGUUUUUGAUUAGAUUUAAUGCUUUAUUUAUGUGUCGCAAGAUUCAAUGUGACGAAAAAUCUUUAAAAGUUUUUACUUGUUUAGGGCCCCUUUGGAUGACAGGAUAGGAAAUAUGUAGGAAUAGGAAAACCUUAGGAAUACAUAUGCCAUACCCCUCCGUUCCUACGAAAAUUCAAAACACAGGAAAGCUGAAAUGAAGUCCUUUGGCAGUAGCACAGGUGAAACACAGGAAUAAACCACAGAGACUAGAUGCUUCCAUUAUUUUUUAAAAUCUUGAACAUCUACCAGUUAUUCAUUCAAAGUCACUCGCUUUGUUGUUUGCCUCUGGAAUGACCCAGGCCAGCCCACGUAAGGCUCACCAGAAGCUGCCAACCAAAAAAAAAAGAACAUGCACAGAGCGCGGGCACACACUUUGUUUCCCGCC